UUCUGUGAUUCUGUGAUUUGUUGUUUAACAGACUUAACAUACCAAGGAAAGAGGUACUUUUGUCAGGUGCCAAACUGUGCUAGUAUAUUGGCUCUACGAUAGGAGUGCAUCUGCAAUGCUUGAAUUUCAGCUACUCCUCACUCCCACAAGACAGGAGAGGCUGCACUUGAUAGUACCAGUGGGACUGCAGUUCAUCCAGCACACUCCUUCCUUCCUUUCUCCAUAAAUCUCCCCCUUCUUCCCUUUCUUCCUCAGCCAUGAAGGACCUGAAGCAUACUCUAGUUGAUCAGUUUGUGGAGAAUUAACUUCUGGAACAGACUCAAUGAUUCUUCUUGAUGAGAAUAGCAAGAAAGGGAAGUGUGAUGGGUAUUUCAGCUAUCUUCUGGAGAUCAGAUCAAGCACACACCUCGUAAAAUAAGUCUUUUCAUUUUAUAAGUAAAGAAGUCUGCAAGAAGCAGUUACCUUUGACAGAGAUUUUAUGGACAUCUGGAAACUCCUUAAUUCUCAGCAUAGCUUUCAGAGGUCUCUAGCUUAACACACUAAGGACAAGGAUGCAUUGAAGAUGUGC